rnacentral:ribozyme from 1 species
GCCAUUGUCGGGCAAAGCAUGGCGUUGCAGGUGCCGCCCCCACUGAAGCCCAGC